rnacentral:rRNA from 1 species
AAUAUUGGACAAUGGGGGCAACCCUGAUCCAGCCACGCCGUGUGUGUGAAGACGGUCUUCGGAUUGUAAAUCACUUUAAGUUGGGAGGAAGGGCUUUAGGCUAAUAUUCUGAAGUUUUGACGUUACCAACUGAAUAAGCACCGGCUAACUCUGUGCCAGCAGCCGCGGUAAUACAGAGGGUGCAAGCGUUAAUCGGAAUUACCGGGCGUAAAGCGCGCGUAGGUAUUUCAGUAAGAUUGGUGUGAAAUCCCCGGGAUUAACCUAGGAACUGCUUUCAUAACUGAUGAGCUAGAGUACGGUAGAGGGUAGUGAAAUUUCCUGUGUAGCGGUGAAAUGCGUAGAUAUAGGAAGGAACACAAGUGGCAAAGGCGACUACCUGGACUGAUACUGACACUGAGGUGAGAAAGCGUGGGGAGCAAAC